rnacentral:rRNA from 1 species
AAUCAACGCUGGCGGCGUGCCUCAGACAUGCAAGUCGAACGCGAAAGUUCCCUUCGGGGGGCAAGUAGAGUGGCGCACGGGUGAGUAACACGUAGGUAAUCUACCUUUGGGUGGGGAAUAACAGCCGGAAACGGCUGCUAAUACCGCAUAAUGCAGCGGCUCGACAUCGAGACAGUUAGUUAAAGCGGGGGAUCGCAAGACCUCGCGCCUAAAGAGGAGCCUGCGGCGGAUUAGCUUGUUGGUGAGGUAAUGGCUCACCAAGCAUCGAUCCGUAGCCGGCCUGAGAGGGC